GUCCAUCUCGGGGUCAGUACAGACCCUGGUCUGUAUAAAACCCCCAGUCCAUCUCGGGGUCAGUACAGACCCUGGUCUGUAUAAAACCCCCAGUCCAGCUCGGGGUCAGUACAGACCCUGGUCUGUAUAAAACCCCCAGUCCAGCUCGGGGUCAGUACAGACCCUGGUCUGUAUAAAACCCCCCAGUCCAUCUCGGGGUCAGUACAGACCCUGGUCUGUAUAAAACCCCCCAGUCCAUCUCGGGGUCAGUACAGACCCUGGUCUGAAUAAAACCCCCCAUCCAUCUCGGGGUCAGUACAGACCCUGGUCUGAAUAAAACCCCCCAGUCCAGCUCGGGGUCAGUACAGACCCUGGUCUGAAUAAAACCCCCCAGUCCAUCUCGAAUAAAAAAAGAAAUGUAUUUAUGCUUGGUUCCUCUCUGUGUUGUGUUUAGUUGUAGCAGGUUGAUAAUGUUGUGUUUAGUUGUAGCAGGUUGAUAAUGUUGUGUUUAGUUGUAGCAGGUCGAUAAUGCUGUGUUUAGUUGUAGCAGGUUGAUAAUGUUGUGUUUAGU